CGUGGUGCAUCUUGACGUGUCCGUACUUGGCAUACUCUGCGCUGAAGGACGAGCAGACCUGGAGGAGGGGUCAGAGAGGGCACCGGGGUCCGUGGCAUGCAUGGUCAAGCAGAGUGGACCCCCGCGAGCCUCAAGAACACCCACCUGCCCUGGGAUCCUGCGUUUCCAGAGCCUUCCUGCCCUACACCCACAUCUCUCCCCGAGCUAAUCGGACCAUCAGCGUUCGGGUGUCCACGACAGCGGAGUGGCAGCAUCCACUUGGUGUGGCGACGCUGAGUGUUUGGAGGUGGGAGGCCAGCCCCAAUGGCCAUUCUGCCCCCGACUGCUCAGGCAAGCCUGCAAGCCUCAGCGGGCCAUCGGCAGGAUCAGGCACGACGCAGGUACAGCUCCAACUGCAGUGACGUGAUGCCUGAUGCUCUUGGAAACAUCGUGUUGUCACGGGGCUGCUGUGCAUUCGAAGCCCCCCCGCAGCAAGGGAAGGGGUGAGGAACGGUCUGUCCGUGAGGGUGGCACCCAGGGCAAGGUGCCCCGGUGGGGGGCUAAGUGUGAACGUCUCCCCUUGCCCUUGUGGGAUUCUUCCGAACUGCCCGGGAGCAGCCACCGGACAGCAGCUCCAGCUCCGGGACUCCAACAAGGGCCAUCAUUCUGAAGGCAAAAGAGGUACAAAGGUGUUUCUUAUGCAGAUAUAUGCAAAUUAAAAUGCAGAUGUCAGCCUCCUCCCAUAUUUUAUCCAGGCUGUAAGAUUUGGCUGAUUUUAUGGAAGAGGCUGCCCGCCUGUUUCCCAGUCCCGAUCCCAGUGAGCCUCGCACCCCGUGUCCUGCGCUUUGCAGGGGCGAACCGUUCCAUCUUCCAAGGCUAGCAGGUCAGCUGCCUUAUGAUCCACAGUUGACAGAAGCAGAAACAGACACAGAGAGAGGCCAUAUGACCACCCCCGGUCCCUCAGGAAGGUGGCAGAGGGAGGAGUGGAACCCAGAAUCCACCCAAGGGACUUUCUCCCUUGGACUGAAAUGCUGCCAAAAUGUAGCUGGACACUUCCUCUGAAGGACACCGAGGGCCACAGCUAGUGACGUGACUGCCACGGUUUUACAAGAGACCCGUCCGCCAAACCAGCUCUGCCUGGGCCCCUUGGGAGGCGGAGGCUGAGAAGGCUCCCCCUCUGCGCGCAGAAAGCAGAAGCCCACGGCAUUCAGAGGAGCGUUGCCACCAACGACCCCGCGCCUGAACAGGACUGAGUGUGGCUCACACCACCUGCUCCCUGUCACAUCCCACCGGCCCCGUCCCGGGCUGCACCACGAACCACGAGCUGAGCAGCCUUGGCCAAGCGGCUGAUCCUCCCAGACCGUGUUUCCGCAUCUACGAAGUGG